AUACGGAGGGUGCAAGCGUUACUCGGAAUCACUGGGCGUAAAGCGCGCGCAGGCGGGCUGAUAAGUUGGAUGUGAAAGCCUACGGCUCAACCGUAGAACUGCAUCCAAAACUGUCAGUCUAGAGUCUGGGAGGGGAAGAUGGAAUUAGUUGUGUAGGGGUAAAAUCCGUAGAGAUAACUAGGAAUACCAAAAGCGAAGGCGAUCUUCUGGAACAGUACUGACGCUGAGGCGCGAAAGCGUGGGUAGCAAACGGGAUUAGAAACCCGAGUAGUCC
rnacentral:rRNA from 1 species